rnacentral:rRNA from 1 species
ACUCCUACGGGAGGCAGCAGUGGGGAAUAUUGCACAAUGGGCGCAAGCCUGAUGCAGCCAUGCCGCGUGUAUGAAGAAGGCCUUCGGGUUGUAAAGUACUUUCAGCAGUGAGGAGGUGAUAGUUAAUAGCAUAUUCAUUUGACGUUAGCUGCAGAAGAAGCACCGGCUAACUCCGUGCCAGCAGCCGCGGUAAUACGGAGGGUGCGAGCGUUAAUCGGAAUUACUGGGCGUAAAGCGCAUGCAGGUGGUUUGUUAAGUCAGAUGUGAAAGCCCGGGGCUCAACCUCGGAAUUGCAUUUGAAACUGGCAAACUAGAGUACUGUAGAGGGGGGUAGAAUUUCAGGUGUAGCGGUGAAAUGCGUAGAGAUCUG